rnacentral:rRNA from 1 species
UACAGAGGGUGCGAGCGUUGUUCGGAAUUAUUGGGCGUAAAGGGCGCGUAGGCGGUGCGGUAAGUCACCUGUGAAAUCUCCUGGCUCAACUGGGAGCUUGCAGGCGAAACUGCCGUGCUGGAGUGUGGGAGAGGUGCGUGGAAUUCCCGGUGUAGCGGUGAAAUGCGUAGAUAUCAGGAGGAACACCGGUGGCGAAGGCGGGUCUCUGGGCCGAUACUGACGCUGAGGAGCGAAAGCGUGGGGAGCGAACAGG